rnacentral:lncRNA from 1 species
CUCCAGCCUCCCAGUCUCUCGGAAUCCGCAGCCUAGGUGUGGCGCCCCGACCGGACUUUCACUUCUGGCCAGCCCUUUCCCCACCUGGGCGCGGGAGCGGGUGCCAGUCUUUAAACAACCUCUCGAUGGGUCCCACGAAGAUGUUUCCAGACCCUUGGAAUGCCAAGUUCAAGUUUAGCUAUGUCUCGCGGAGAGGCCGGUGGAAGAAGCAACGAGGUGAUCUUUCCUGCUUGGCAUCGGCAUCCUGGAACCCCGCGACCCUCCUCCUCGCAGGGGUCUCGGGACCCUCACCCUCUCAAGCGGGAACCGGCGUCUGGCGGGGGCGGGGGUGGGGGCGUUCUCGGGUUGCUGCUACCCAGCGGGGCGUGUGCUUGCCGUUUGUUAGAAUGCGGCUGACCAAAGGGUAGAAAAGGGGAAAGAUUAGGGAUCCACGAGGCUAAUAAAUUCUCAGUGGCUGCACACUUUCGGAACCGGGAAGCUCGGGGGCUUCCCCCGGAGCGGGCCCUGCAGCUGGGAUCCAAGUGAGCUGAGCUUCCCCGCCCUCCCAACCGCGUCCUGGGCCCUACUUCCUGCCCUUGCCUCCCCAACCCUGCAUCCCGCCCCGCACUUCCCGCACGUGGGUGUGGCCGGGCCCUCUCUAUUAAAGCAAGAGUGCCCUAGGACAAAGCCGCCCCUGUCCCGGACAGAGUGGAAUAAGAGCGCCUCCUUCAAUCCCCACUCGCGCCUGCACCCAGAGCACCUGGGACACAGCGGCUCUGUCUUGGAGAACAGGUGCCUCAAUAGGGAGGGCCUGGCCAAACCUAUGCGCGGGAAGUGCGGAGCGGGAUGCAGGGGUGGGGCGGCAGGUGCAGGUAGUAGAGCCCAGGCAUGCGGUUGGGGGGUGGGGGGAAAUCUCACGUGCGAUCCCAGGUGCGGAACCCGCUGCUGGGAAUGGGGUGGAAGCAAAACAGGUACUGCACGCACAGGCGAGGUGCCUCGUGGGGGAAUCGAAUGUCAGGGAUGGUGGACAGUGCGGAUGGGCGGCAGGUGCUGGGGCUCAGGGGAGAUAACUCAGAGGCAGGCUCGGUGGAGAACCCAAGGCCGGCGACCAGGUGCAGGCGGCCCACAGGCCCUGGAGGCAUACAGCGGGGGGACAAGGUGGGAAGGAGGCCUAUGCCCCAAGAGCUCAACCUGUGCUGCAUCCAGGCCAGCUGCCACCCAGGGUAUGGGCCGCAGAUGCCCUAGGAUCCUUGCUGAUGCAUGAUGCAUACCGGUGCCCAGCGUGAGAGCCAUGGGAAGGCAGCACGCAGCCCUGGCUCUCCCGCCCAGGCCCCUGAUACCAGGCCAGAGAAAGACCCGCCACUAAGAGCUCAUUUCCCCCUGGCCGGAGACCCAGGGGUCUGUGGACUGCAGCGCUAGGGUCCAUGCCCAGGUACCCAUAUUCCUCAGUGGCCUCUGCCCACUGACCACCCCCGCUCUCUCCCUCACUGCUGAAUGUCCAGGACCUUACUCGACAAACACCCAUAGUUGUUCGAGGAGGAGUUAAUGUACUGAUGGAUGGAUGCAGGCAUUUGCUCAUUGACAUCACUGCCCACCCCACCAUCUGCUUGCCUUCUGGCCAUGCUUCAAGCAGGCACUUUGGAUACUGGACUGUCUUCUGUGAAUGUGGCUUUGGGCAGCACUAAUAACAAGAGCUAGUUACAGGGCCUCACUGUGUGCCAGGCACUGCACUGUGUACACUCUUACCUGUCCUGGUCGUUCAAUGAUUAAAUAUGCAGAUCUAGGAGGUGGCUCUUACAGAUGGGGAAGCUGAGGCAGAGAGAGGCAGAAUAACUUGCACACGGGCACACAGCUAGAAGACAAGCUAGCACCUGGGAAGUCAGUCUCCAGAGCCCAGGCAGGGAAGUGUGUUUUGCUAACUCUCUGGUGUGAGCCACCGUGGUUCCCAGGGCCUCAGUUUCCCCAUCUAAGUUGAGAGGGGUGAGUUGGUCCUCCCAGCAGCUGUUCAGUGUGUCACUCCUCACCCAUCCUUUUAAAGCCCUGCUUCCUGGUGAGAGUCUCCCCUAGGCCAGGGUUUCCAGGCAUUCAUUUGCAUGAAUCCCCUAGAGAGCCUAUUCAAAGGCAGGUUCUGACUCUUUGAGGUUCUGUGUUUCUAAGUAGCCCAGGUGAUGCUGAUGCCCCAUUCACGAAUGGCACUCUGAGGAGGGAGGGCCUAGGUCAUUUCCCUGGAAAUGUAAGGAGAACCUCUCCUCAAGGAGUUCUACAGCCAACUAACAAACCACCAGUCCACAGGGGUGCUGCUUCAGACAAGCUCGCCUAGUGAUGGAUUGGAAUAGGCCAAGUCAGUGCAGAACUCCUGAAGGUUAUUAAAAAUCACGGAUCUACCAUUAAUCCAGAAAUACUUUAAAGCAGUUGGCUAUGCCCAUCUAGGGCACUGUGUGCUUGGGAGGGUGGAUGUGAAGAUAGCACCUACAGCUGAGUAGGAAAAUGAACCUACACUAGCCACAAGGCAAUGUGGGCUGAGUGCCCAGGCAGCACUGGUUCAGGAUGCAGGUAUAGAAUUGAAAGAGAGGAAGCGGCUACUUCCUAGCAAGAUAUCCAGGGAAGGUAGCCCAAAGGAGGAAGCCUUUGAAGUGGGCCAUAGCAGUGAGCCAGUCAAGAUGGGAGGAGGAGUAGGGAAUGUGAGAAACACUGGGAGUCUUGGCCUCUAAUUGGCACCCUUAGGUGCAUUUCACCAAGAUUCCCUGGGCCGCUCCUACCAGAAAGAGACUAUCAGAAGUCAGAUUGCUCGCUCUCACCCUGCCUUAAGCAGAACCUCUAUCCCCACCAAGGAAUGUCUGACCUGGGAGGAGGAGUGAUCUCCUGGGCCCUGUGCUAUAGGCUGCCAUGGCCACUUCUCACCUGGUCCAGCUGCUGGCCUUGGAGCUUCCAAGCAACCUGAGCUGGUCCAUGCUGAGUUCCCCAGAGGCCAGCUUCUGCACCUAAAGUUUACAGCUAGGUAGGAAAACAGCUCUUCCAACUCCCACUUGCAACCCUUUCUCACCUAAGAACUUGAAAAAUUAUGUGUCUAUGAGCCAGUUGGGCAGACAGGUGAGAUGCCCUCAAUUUUGUACUUUAAAUCUCUCCCCGUGUGAAUCUUAGUCCCUGGUGCACCUCACUGAGCCUGAUUCCUUACCUCCUGAUGAUGCUUCCCGAAAUCCCCUUGCUCCCAGGUUAACAACUCCCACCCCCAGUGUCUCCUAGCAAUGGGCUCCACUUGCAAGAAUCUCUACUAUAUACAAAGCAUUCAUUCAUGUAUUCAUUCAUUCAUUCAUUCAUUCACUCACUCAGCAGAAGAUGAAUGAGUGCUUGUCAGAGUUAGGCUUGGAGUUGGUGGUAGACAAACAAAGGAAAGGCAGGCUUUGGAACUAGAAAGUGCCCUAUGAGUGAUUUAGGUAGAACUAUCCAAUGGCCAUGACCAGACUGGAUGAGCCUGUGAGAAUUGGGAGCAGGAAAACCAGCUAUAACCUCUUGCAACUGUCCAGGCUUGAAACACUAGAAGAUUCACUUGAAAAUUACUAGUGCUUUUGGCAGGGGCAUUUAUUCAGUGUUCACUGGGCAGCUGUGCCCUGCUGCAAACAUGGUAGGCACUGAGAAGACAACAGUCAGCAAGGCAGUCUCUGUGCCUGAGAGGCUCCUGGGAUGAGGAAGGAGAUAGGUUCAUAGUCAGGUCACCCCUCCAGGCUGCAGAGCGCUAGAGAAAAGUCCUUCCCACAAAGGUCCAGGCUUGGGGUAAAGAGCCUCCCAGACCUGGGGCUGCUGGGAGACCUGCCCAGAGGGUCCUGGAGGAGGAGGUGGGGGAAGGAAGGCAGCAUUCCAUACUCAAAGGUCUAGAGCUGCAAAAAGGCUCAGAGAAUUCCAGAUGCAGGACUUUUAAUGAAGCUGGAGCACAGACUGCAGCUCUGUGGGGAUAAGUGUGAUGGGGAGUGAGAGAAGUAAGAGGGGUCAGACUUUCUGGUACAGAGGAGAAAGCUGGCCUUGGUCUAAAAGGGACAUGAACACCCUAGAGUCUCCUCCUGAGAGUGGCUGGAUCGGGGUGUGCUUAGACCCCAGGCAGCAGUGGGGGAGGUGGGAGUGGGGAGGUUGCAGGCAGCCCUGCUGUCAGAGGCUGGGCAAAAGUCCUGGCGAAGAGCAGUGAGGGCCUGGUCUGAGGCCCAGAUCGUGCAGAAGUGAUGAAAUUCAGGGAUGAAUGGGACGAAGGACUGGCCCAAGGUGACUUGGUGCUGUCAGAUUGGGAGACUGAGUGGACAGAGGGAGUCUCAGGCAUAGGGAGACAAUAUGGAACUCGGUCAGGACAUCUCGGUGGAGAUUCAGGGCUCAAAAGGGACAGAGUGUCUGGGGUUGGAGACUUGAGUCAUGUGAGGGGCUUGUGGACAGGUCAUCUCAGGAGCUCUGAAGUGUUUAGGGAAAGAGGCCAGAACCCUGGGGACAGUGGCACUUAAAGGGUCUCUGUCUCAUGCCACAGGUGGGAAAGUUCAGUUAGAGAAGUGGGGACAGAGCCAGAAGAGAGCACCUUGGCAAUAUCUAAGGCCAUAAGGCCUAUUAGGACAAGGGUUAAACAAUUAGGACAGAUUGUUAAACUUGUUGGGUAGGUGGUAUGCAGUGGCCUAAGCAGGAACAGCUCUAUUAUCCAGGUGGGGAUGGCAGCUCCACUAUAGUGGUCAAGUCCUAAAUGGUGAGUAAGGGUAGAGGUUUUCCCACUGGUGAGCCCCCUGAAAACCUUGGCCUCCUAGUCUGGAAGAUAUUAGGUUGCUGCAAAAGUAAUUGCGGC